AUUGAACGCUGGCGGCAUGCCUUACACAUGCAAGUCGAACGGUAGCGGGCCUUCGGGUGCCGACGAGUGGCGAACGGGUGAGUAAUGCAUCGGAACGUACCUUUCAGUGGGGGAUAACGUAGCGAAAGUUACGCUAAUACCGCAUAUUCUGUGCGCAGGAAAGCAGGGGAUCGCAAGACCUUGCGCUGAUUGAGCGGCCGAUGUCAGAUUAGCUAGUUGGUGAGGUAAAGGCUCACCAAGGCGACGAUCUGUAGCGGGUCUGAGGGGAUGAUCCGCCACACUGGAACUGAGACCCGGUCCAGACUCCAGCGGGAGGCAGCAGUGGGGAAUUUUGGACAAUGGGGGCAACCCUGAUCCAGCCAUGCCGCGUGAGUGAAGAAGGCCUUCGGGUUGUAAAGCUCUUUCGGCCGGGAAGAAAUCGCAUGGGUUAAUACCCUGUGCGGAUGACGGUACCGGCAUAAGAAGCACCGGCUAACUACGUGCCAGCCGCCGCGGUAA
rnacentral:rRNA from 1 species